GCUUAUUUUUGGGCGCGGCUGUGCCCGCGGUUUAUUUUUGGCACCCCGAGGCCCUCGCAAAGUCUUGCCGCAUUCCGAGUCCGGCGGACGAACUUCGCCCGCGCCCCCCACCAAGGCUAUAGCCCACCCGUUUUUUGGCCAUUUUUCCGCUGGGGGGUUUUGGCGCCACGACCUUCGGGCUCUUAUUUUUGGGCGCGGCUUUGCCCACGGCUUAUUUUUGGCACCUCGAGGCCCCUCGCAAAGUCUCGCCCCAUUCCGAGUCCGGCGGACGAACUUCGCCCGCGCCCCCCACCAAGGCUAUAGCCCACCCGUUUUUUGGCCAUUUUUCCGCUGGGGGGUUUUGGCCCCACGACCUUCGGGCUCUUAUUUUUGGGCGCGGCUUUGCCCGCGGCUUAUUUUUGGCACCCCGAGGCCCCUCGCAAGGCCUCGCCCCAUUCCGAGUCCGGCGGACGAACUUCGCCCGCGCCCCCCACCAAGGCUAU
rnacentral:lncRNA from 1 species